GACGAACGCUGGCGGCGUGCCUAAUACAUGCAAGUUGAGCGCUGAAGGUUGGUACUUGUACCAACUGGAUGAGCAGCGAACGGGUGAGUAACGCGUGGGGAAUCUGCCUUUGAGCGGGGGACAACAUUUGGAAACGAAUGCUAAUACCGCAUAAAAACUUUAAACACAAGUUUUAAGUUUGAAAGAUGCAAUUGCAUCACUCAAAGAUGAUCCCGCGUUGUAUUAGCUAGUUGGUGAGGUAAAGGCUCACCAAGGCGAUGAUACAUAGCCGACCUGGGAGGGUGGGCGGCCACAUUGGGACGGGGACAGGGCCCAAGGUGCUACGGGGGGGAGCAGUAGGGGAUCUUCGGGAAUGGGCGGAAGGCGGACCGGGCGACGCCGCGGGAGUGGAGAAGGUUUUCGGAUCGUGAGACUCUGUUGGUAGAGAAGGACGUUGGUGAGAGUGGAAAGCUCAUCAAGUGACGGUAACUACCCAGAAAGGGACGGCUAACUACGUG
rnacentral:rRNA from 1 species